rnacentral:lncRNA from 1 species
CCCCUCCCUGCGGCCUCGCCCUGGAGUCUCGGCACCGUCUGGCCCCGCCGGCUGAUUACAGCCAGAGAUCGAGGGGGACCUCGCUGUCCCCCUAGAGGCCGUCAUGCGGGGUUACAGAGGCUGCGACCAAAGUCAUUCCUAGCUCCUCUCUCGGGGCUCCGGAAAGCCGUCCGCGCCUCCAGCCGCACUUUCAGCGCACGCAGGACCUGCCGCGCCCGGUGGCCACACCCGUCCCUCUGCCGGGUGACGCUGCGGGAGAUCUUGCGCCCUGGGGCUCCGGAUCCAGUUCUGUCAUGCACUUGGGUGAAAACAGACUGAAGAGUCACGGGAACCAGCUUGUCUCCCCAGUUAUGGCGCAGAGCUGCAAGGAUGGCUGUGGGUCAUUAAUUUCUCCGUGGCUGACCUGUGUUUGUAACGCCGCAGCUGUUGCGAGGGGGAAGGACACUGCUUCGGAUUCAAAUUCUGACUCCUUGCUGCAGUGUGUCACCUUGAGCCAGUCCCAGAUCUCUGCGUUCUCACAAUUGUAAAAUGUUAACAGAGGCUGCCUACCUUGUGGCUGGAAUUAAAUGAAUUAACGUGUGUGAAUGUGACUAGAAUUCAGUACAUGUUCAGGAAAAGCUGAUUUCCGCUUUGCUGUUACCGUGAAUAUUACUGUUUUAGGGUGUAGAAAAGGGUGGAAGGGGAUGUUAUUGCAUCCUGGAAGCUUAUCCUUUUGAGUCUGUCCACAGGCGUACUUUUAUAGGUCUGUGAUAGUAGGUAGCUCUUCAAGUUGGCAAACACCUGCUGGACAACCCCUGAGAGAUUCAUCUGAGUGAGAGAGCACUCUCCAGCCCCAUCGGAGUGGGUUUGCAGGGAAAUCAUAAGGAAGAAAUCCUUAUCUUUCCAACACUGAGAUGCUUCUGCCGAAGAGUAGAAUGGGAGUGAGGGGACACGCAAAACGGGCUGCUGCCGGAGGAAGAGGAACAGUGUUGUGGCUCAUGCCAUAUGAAUGGGCUCACUGGCCUGGCCCAGACCCUGACUGCCCACAGGAUCUUUGACAGAGAAACGGAGGCACAGAGAAGGAAGCGGCAGUUAAAGCUGCGAAGAACCUAACAAAUUUCAAGAUUGUAAGUGCCUUUUCCCAGGAUGCCAGCAAGUACUGAGCCUGUAUUUUGAGCUGCAUCAAACCCUGUUGGAAUAAAAAAGGACAUUUCUAGGAGAUCAGUCUUCGAGAUUGGCCCCAGUUUCCCCAGAGUAGGAAGAGGCAGGAAGCCAGAGCACAUGUUC